rnacentral:rRNA from 1 species
AGAGUUUGAUCCUGGCUCAGAUUGAACGCUGGCGGCAUGCCUUACACAUGCAAGUCGAACGGUAGAGGGGCAACCCUUGAGAGUGGCGAACGGGUGAGUAAUAUAUCGGAACGUGCCCAGUUGUGGGGGAUAACGUAGAGAAAUUUACGCUAAUACCGCAUACGAUCUAAGGAUGAAAGCGGGGGACUCGCAAGAGCCUCGCGCAACUGGAGCGGCUGAUAUCAGAUUAGCUUGUUGGUGAGGUAAAAGCUCACCAAGGCGACGAUCUGUAGCUGGUUUGAGAGAACGACCAGCCACACUGGGACUGAGACACGGCCCAGACUCCUACGGGAGGCAGCAGUGGGGAAUUUUGGACAAUGGGCGAAAGCCUGAUCCAGCAAUGCCGCGUGCAGGAAGAAGGCCUUCGGGUUGUAAACUGCUUUUGUACGGAACGAAACGGCGAGCUCUAAUACAGUUGCUAAUGACGUACCG